rnacentral:rRNA from 1 species
GAUAAACGCUGGCGGCGCACAUAAGACAUGCAAGUUGGACGGACUUAAUCGAAAUAUUUAUAUUUUGAAGCGGUUAGUGGCGGACUGGUGAGUAACGCGUAAGGAACCUGCCUAUUAGAGGGGAAUAACAGUGAGAAAUCAUUGCUAAUACCGCAUAUGCCAUAGAUAUCACAUGAUAACAGUGGGAAAGGAGCAAUCCGCUAAUAGAUGGCCUUGCGUCUGAUUAGAUAGUUGGUGGGGUAACGGCCUACCAAGUCGACGAUCAGUAGCCGGACUGAGAGGUUGAACGGCCACAUUGGGACUGAGAUACGGCCCAGACUCCUACGGGAGGCAGCAGUCGGGAAUAUUGCGCAAUGGAGGAAACUCUGACGCAGUGACGCCGCGUAUAGGAAGAAGGUUUUCGGAUUGUAAACUAUUGUCGUUAGGGAAGAGAAAGGACAGUACCUAAGGAGGAAGCUCCGGCUAACUACGUG